rnacentral:misc_RNA from 1 species
UACAUGGCACUCGAUCGAAAAUGAAGAUUGACGCCUGCACUUGGGACAAGAUGCCUCCCUACUGCCGAAAGAACUCGAUCGUUCUCAGGACUCAGCUAUGUGUGCGCGUUCACACUAUCAUAGAAAAAUUGCUGAACAGCGAAGGCCGCGAACUGCGCAGGGCCCUCUUUUCCCUCAAGCAAAUCUUUCAGGAGGACAAGGACCUAGUUCACGAGUUCGUGCAGAAUGACGGGCUGGCGUGUCUCAUCAAGGUUGGCAACGACGCCGACCAAAAUUACCAAAAUUACAUACUUCGAGCCCUGGGACAGGUGAUGCUGUACGUCGACGGCAUGAAUGGCGUGAUGGAGCACGCCCAGACGGUCCAGUGGCUCUACACCCUCAUCGCGUCGCGCUUCCGUCUCGUCGUCAAGACGGCCCUCAAGCUCCUGCUGGUCUUCGUCGAGUACGUCGAAACCAACUCGCUGCUCCUCGUGCGGGCCAUACGCUCGGUGGACCAGUCCCGAGGCAUGAUACCCUGGACCAACGUGAUGAAGCUGCUGACGGACUACGACGCCGCCGACACGGAGCUGCUGAUCUACGCCAUGACUCUCAUCAACAAGUGCCUCAAUGGGAUACCCGAUCAGGACACGUAUUACGAUCAGGUGGACUGUCUGGAGGAGCAGGGCAUCGAGGCGAUAAUACAGCGCUACAUGGGCAAGCAGGGUACGGAUCUGGAUCUGCUGAGGCAGUUUCAGAUCUACGAGGCGGUGCUGUACCACGAGGACGGCAACGAUCGAGACUCGCCCAUCAGACAGCUCGACGACAACAUCAGGAAAACGCUACGCAACCGCAAAUCCCUGGCGGACUCGCACGAGCGUCGCAAGUCGCGCAGACACUCCACGGGCACGUCGCCGCUCUCGGCGAUGCUGCUGCUGAACAACGGCUGCUCGGCCGCCGGCUCGAGUCCGAGACAGCUGCAGGCCAGCAACGGUGGCGGCGUUGGCGGCAAUAAUGGCCAGCUGCCUGUCUCCGUCGUCGUCGACAACAACAACAGAAACGGCCACCACCACCACCUACACAACCACCAUCAGCAUCAGCAUCAUCACCAAGCGAACAACGAAGACGACGACGGCGAGUCGAGCAGCUCGCAGAGCAGCCAAGGCAUCGGCGACGUUUCCACCAUCAACGGCGGUGGCACGUACAAGGACAAAAAUGCUCUGGACGUGGGAGUGACGCCGGCCUUGAGGCGUCGACGCGAACGAGCCGAGAGACAGAGGAGCUUCAUCAGGGAGCAGCAGGAGGCAACCGCCAACAUGAGGGCAUCGACCAACGGACACGCCGACGAUGAGAGUACGUUCAACGGUGGCGUGCGCUACACGAACGGCACGACGAUCGAGUCGUCGAACAAAUUGUCCGGGCGACAGGUCGUGCUGACGGGACACAACAAGCCCGACCUGAUGACGCCGCUGAUGAACGCCGCCAACAAGCUCGACAGCGAGGAGAAGCAGAAGCAGCAGUGGUACGGCAAGAGCCCCGACGAGGGCGUCGAGUGCGACGAGGGCAAUCACACGGACGAGGAGGACGAGUCGGAUCGUCGCGUCAUGCUCCAGUUGAAGCGCGAGAACACCGUCAAAGAUCUCACGCAGAAAUUGGCGGCGGCCCAGCAGCAGAGCAGCCUCAUACAGUCGCAGAACGGCGCGGCCGAGGAGAAGAUCUCCAGGAUAGGCGACGUGAGCGGCCUGAUCUCCAAGGCGAAGGAGGGCCUGGCCAAGUCCAAGUCCAAGGCGGACGUGCUCAAGUCGCCGACCCAAUCGGCUGUCAAUGAAGUAGCCAACGCCACAGCUGCCGCGACGACGAAACUACCCGAGGUCAAAAAGUCCGAGAACGAGCUGCACUGGGAGGAGCUGGUGAACAGCUUCAAGGGCGAGCUGAUCUCGUGCGGCUGCGACUUCACGGAUCUCAGCGCCGAGGACGACAUCGGCCUGCUCGGGCCGGUGCAGACGAGCAACGGGGUGCCGCCGCCCCCGCCACCCCCCAUGCAGCCCGGUGCUGGUGGUGGUGCAGGUGGACGAGCCGUGCCGCCUCCUCCGCCGUGCCGAGCUCCGCCGCCGAUGCCCAGUGGCCCGCCACCCACACCGCCGAUGAUGUUCAACGCCAGCCAACUCAGACAGACGAGGUCGCAGUUGAUGAACGGAGGGGGUGGUGGCUACAACAACAACAUCAGUAGUAGCUACAAUCACAACUAUAAUAACACGAGCAGCGACAACACACCAAAGAGUCCACAGCAGCAGCAGCAACAGCAGCAGCAGACAGUCAGGAAGAACAAAAAAACUGUGAAAUUGUUCUGGAUGGAAACUGUCCAGGUUCCGCACGGAGAAAAUAUGAUCUGGAACGAGCUGACCAGGACGUCGGUCGACACGCAAAAGCUCGAGCAUCUGUUCGAGAGCAGAGCCAAGGAUCUCAUAACUAAGCAGAAGCAGCAAGAGCUGAAUAAGAACAAGGAGAUAAUCGUGCUGGAUCCCAAGCGCUCCAACGCCAUCAACAUCGGCAUGACCAAGCUUCCACCGCCGAGAUCCAUCAAGACGGCGAUCUUAAAGAUGGACGCGACCAUCGUGAACAGAGAGGGAAUCGAGAAACUGUUGACAAUGUUACCAACCGAGGAGGAGAGGUCGAAGAUACAGGAGGAGCAGGCCGCCCAUCCGGAUCUGCCUCUGGGCUCGGCCGAGCAAUUUUUACUGACGCUCGCGUCCAUCUCCGAAUUGCCGGCGAGACUGAAGCUCUGGGCGUUCAAGCUCGAUUUUGAAAAUUCCGAAAAGGAAAUCGCAGACCCCCUAAUGGAUUUGAAGCAGGGCAUGGAGACCCUGAAGAAGAAUAAUACCCUGCGCGGUAUUCUCAGCACGCUUCUCUCGAUCGGAAUAUUUCUCAACGGAAACGAGGUCAAAGGAUUUCAAUUGGAGUACUUGGCCAAGGUGCCGGAGGUCAAAGACACCGUGCACAAGCACUCGCUGCUGCACCAUCUCUGCCAUAUGGUGAUGGAGAAAUUUCCCGAUUCCACGGAUUUGUAUUCGGAGAUUGGAGCUGUGACCAGAGCAUCGAAAAUCGACUUCGACGAGCUGGCAUCGAACAUCGUCAAACUCGAGAGCGAAUGCAAAGCGUCCUGGGACCAUUUAAAACUAAUCGCCAAACACGAUGGAUCUACCAUGAUCAAGAACAAGAUGUCGGACUUCUUGACCGACUGCGCGCAGCGCAUCAUCGUCCUGGGCAUCGUGCAUCGUCGCAUCAUCAAUCGUUUCCACAAGUCCGUCAACUGGUUCGGCGUGCCGCUGCACCGGGUCGCGGACACUAAGCCCAACGAGUUCUGUCGGCUGAUCUCGGAGUUCGCCCUCGAGUACAGGACGACGCGCGAGCGCGUCCUCCAGCAGCUCGAGAAGAAGGCGAAUCAUCGGGAGAGAAACAAAACUCGAGGCAAAAUGAUAACGGAGGUUGGCAAAUUUAGGACGAAGGAAGAUCGAGCAGACGCGGAACUCAGGCAAUUACUGGGAAACGAUAUCUCCGACGUCGAGAGCAUCCAUGGCACGCUACCGUGGCGUAGAGCCCGCAAGGAUGGUCGCACAUCGCUCGGGCCGCUGAUCAGGGACGAGCGACAGAACGGAAAUCUUACGGACGGCGACGACGAGCUGCUGGAGUCGCUGGUGAAGACGGCCACGAAGACGCCCACGACGAGGACGACGCCGCGCGAGAGGAAGCGCACGCGACACGCCGAUCGUAAGUCUUAUGUGAAAAGAUCGCGUACGAGAGAGAACAUCGCAGCGCCGGAGGUUUAUCGUUCCUGAAAAGAAAGAGGGGAAAGAACCGAAAAUAAAAAAAAAAUCUAAAAAAAGAAAAAUCGGAGAAUCUUGACCUGCUGAUUUAAGUGCGUCGAACACUAAAGAACGG